CUUGGUCAUUUAGAGGAAGUAAAAGUCGUAACAAGGUCUCCGUUGGUGAACCAGCGGAGGGAUCAUUAAAGAGUUCCAAAAAGACUCCCUAAACCCACUGUGAACCUACCUGUUUUUGUUGCUUCGGCAGGCGGCCCCAGGGCGGGGCCACGGCCUUUUCGCUAAGGCGCCUGCCGGAGGUCGUACCGAACUCGUGUUGCCAUUUGCGAUCCUCUGAGUACCAAAACAAAAUAAGUCAAAACUUUCAACAACGGAUCUCUUGGUUCUGGCAUCGAUGAAGAACGCAGCGAAAUGCGAUAAGUAAUGUGAAUUGCAGAAUUCAGUGAAUCAUCGAAUCUUUGAACGCACAUUGCGCCCGCUAGCACUCUAGCGGGCAUGCCUGUUCGAGCGUCAUUUCAACCCUCAAGCCCUGGCCGCUUGGUGUUGGGGCACUCUACGGCGCGCACCGCGCCGUAGGCCCUCAAAGUCAGUGGCGGGCCCGCCGCAACCCCGAGCGCAGUAGUCUUCUCCUCGCUCCGGGCGUUCGGCGGGCGCCUCGCCGUGAAACCCCCCCCAGCUUACGCAAGGUUGACCUCGGAUCAGGUAGGAAUACCCGCUGAACUUAAGCAUAUCAAUAAGCGGAGGAAAAGAAACCAACAGGGAUUGCCUCAGUAACGGCGAGUGAAGCGGCAACAGCUCAAAUUUGAAAUCUGGCCCCCGGCCCGAGUUGUAAUUUGCAGAGGAUGCUUUUGGCGCGGCGCCUUCCGAGUUCCCUGGAACGGGACGCCAUAGAGGGUGAGAGCCCCGUACGGUUGGACGCCAAGCCUCUGUAAAGCUCCUUCGACGAGUCGAGUAGUUUGGGAAUGCUGCUCAAAACGGGAGGUAAAUGCCUUCUAAAGCUAAAUACCGGCCAGAGACCGAUAGCGCACAAGUAGAGUGAUCGAAAGAUGAAAAGCACUUUGAAAAGAGGGUUAAAUAGCACGUGAAAUUGUUGAAAGGGAAGCGCUUAUGACCAGACUUGCGCCCCGUGAAUCAUCCAGCGUUCUCGCUGGUGCACUUCGCGGGGCCCAGGCCAGCAUCGAUUUUCCCAGGGGGACAAAAGCCGCGGGGACGUAGCUCCUCCGGGAGUGUUAUAGCCCGCGGCACAAUGCCCUUGGGGGGAUCGAGGUCCGCGCUCCGCAAGGAUGCUGGCGUAAUGGUCAUCAGCGACCCGUCUUGAAACACGGACC
rnacentral:rRNA from 1 species